CCCAAGCCUUGCAGUUAUUGGUGGAUGCGAACCCCAAGCCUUGCAGUUAUUGGUGAAUGCGAACCCCAAGCCUUGCAGUUAUUGGUGGAUGCGAACCCCAAGCCUUGCAGUUAUUGGUGGAUGCGAACCCCAGGCCUUGCAGUUAUUGGUGGAUGUGAACCCCAGGCCUUGUGGUUACUGAAGUCAGUGGGCAGCUAAAUAGCAGUGAGACAAGAUUUAAAAAAUUCUCUAAGAAUUGAAAGAAGCCUAACUGUGACAACUAUCAAUUUAAAACAUAGAUAAUUAUCACCAUUAUUUGCAUCGUACACUGAGAGUUAAUCUCGGAAGGUGUUCCUUGUUGUCUUAAAUGCCGUCAUUAUGGAAAACCUUCCCACCUGUUCUGGGUUUCACAGUUUGAGGGAGUCUUGCUGGCAUGAUUUGGUAACUGCGAAAUUCCCCAAAUUUAGCUCGGUUGGGGGGCUGUCUCUGUUUUGGAGGUGUCUAAAAAAGUCAAGGUUUCUCAGUGACAAAAGCAUUAGGUGCUCUGGCAACCGUUGGAGUGGAG